UUUAAACUGACACCUGGUUUAUUUAUUUCUAGGCGAUAAUUAAAAUGAAACGCUGCGCCCCCGCCGCCGCCACCCCGCCACCCGCCUCCCUCCCCUCCGCCGCCGCCGCCGCCGCCGGCGCCCGCCGGGCGCGGGCAGGAUCCGGCCCCCGGGGGCCGCCCGGUGCCGGCCGCCCCUGCCCUGCCCCGCAGCGCCCGGGGGCUGCAGCCGGCCGGCCGGGCGGAGAAGUUUCCCGGGGGCCUCCCCCCCCCUCCACCUGCACCCCUGCGCCCUCGCCCCGCUCCCACCGGAGCCCCGCCGUCGUAGUGAUUGCUGUUCUUCUGCCACCUCCAUCCGCAAUGGCAACUUCACCUCCAAGUGCAGACAGCUUGGCCGUCUUCAAAGGUGGGUCUCAAGGCUUCCUCCAGGAGGGCUCACAGGAGCAGGAACGGCCUUCACCCUGUAGGAACACGUCCUCCUGUGGCACUUCCAGGCCCCUCGGAUCCCGUGGGUUGGCUGCUCCCUCAGCUCCCCUAACAGCACCUAGCGUCCGCUCUGCCCCUAUCAGCCACCUGUGA
rnacentral:lncRNA from 1 species